rnacentral:rRNA from 1 species
AUGAAGGAGGGGAUUGCUACAGCCAGUGCCAUACAGAUACAAGACAUGGAGCCGAAUGUGUUCAACGCCUUGCUCGAUUUCGUCUACACCGACUCGAUGCCCAAGAUGGAGGUGGCAGGGGAAGUCGGCGCUGAGGUUACGUGGCUGCGACACUUGCUUGCCGCGGCGGAUAGCUUCAGCUAA